rnacentral:lncRNA from 1 species
UAUUAUAUUAUAAUCAUUUAACUAAAACGUUUUGCUUUGUAGCCAAAAUGUACCGUGUUCAAAAGUUAAAAUGUUUAUGAGUAAAAAAAAAAUCACAUUUUUCAUUAUUACGAAGAAAACGUAAUAGUGUUUAUUUUUAUGUUUAUAAGGGCAUUGGAUCUGUAAUGUUUAUAUUGGAAAUUAUUAUCAGCCGACAAACAGAACCCGUUGAAUGGGAGAAGACAAUGAAGUUUCAUUAGUCCUUUAUUGUUAUCGGUCCGGAAAAUAAUGCUUAUAUGGAAAAUUGUCCCUCGGGGGUGUUUAAAUAGGCGGACAGAAUAAAUUAACUUUGUUACGGCUAUCUACCACGGAAGAAAUUAAUUAUCAUCAUCGCUAAAUGCUGUGAUGUCCUCACUUCUUGACACAUUGAUGUUGGUGUUGUUGAACAUCUUUCGGGGGACGACGCGAAAUCGUGAAAAAAAAUGUAUCUCUGAUUUCUGCGGUUGUCACCAAAGCGCCAAUUAGGUCCGUCAGUUCAUUUUUUAUAGCUUAGUAAGAACGUGUAAAUAAUAUACACAGUUAAGACAGUGUCAACCGAAAUAAUUGGUCAGGUGAUGAGGGUAUAACUGGUAAAAGUUGAUAAGGCACAUUUCAGGUACAUAUAUAGAAAGGAAAUAUGCAUUUAUAACAAUCACAGUGACUUUAUAUUAUAUUAAUACGUCAUAUUGUAUUCAUAAUAUUUCAAGAUUUUAGUUUUGUAACAUAAAUAAUAUAUAUAAAAAUAUAAUAUACGUGCAUAUAUAUUUAUAGUCAAUUUUACCAGCAUAAACCGUACACUAGACUAUUUAACAGUCACUAUUACAUGAUAGUAACAUAACAUUUUUAUAUAUCUAAGUAUAAUAUUAGGUUAAUAUGUCAUAAGAGUAUUAUUACGUUCAUUUUUCAUUAAAAUUUAAAUGUAACUUCUGUUUAAAAUAUUAUUUGUUCAACAACAAAUUACUGAAAAUACAGAGACACUAAAUAUUUUAUAGGUAGUUUCUAUGCAUAGAAUAUACUGUAAAAUGAAAACUGAAGAAGAAUGCGUAUAAGUAAGUUGUCAUUAAAUGUAUUUAUCUAUGUGACUGUCUUCAUAUGGGAUUAUGGAUAAUGGAAUCAGUGAUCCGCAAUGAAAGAUUAAAUGAAAAUUUGAUGAUUAAUAUUUUGAAAUAAUUAACUCAAAACCAAAAUCAGCGAUUUUGUGAAACUUUAUCUCACCCAAGACAAAAGUUAUAAAAUUUGGAAAGGAUUUAUCUUCAAUGCGUCAUUGUGGUUGAUUGGUCCAUACCAGCAUUGAAGCGAAACAAUCACCGAACCAAACGUGCAAAUCCAAGAUAAACACAAUACGAUGGAAAUCGCAAGUCAUAUUUAUUUUUUUUAUUGUUCAUUUUUGAUGGACGUUAUUCAACCAUUAACAAGUCUUGACAAAUGUAGCUACACAAUUACGUAAAUUUAAAAUUUAAAUUACCGUUGUUUCAAAUCAAAAUUAUAAUAUAAGAUCUAUCUGCAAUAAUUCAAUAUUUAUUUGUUUAACUCAAACACGAAUUUAAUCUUAGCUCAUAAGAAUAACUUUAUUUUUUUAUACAAGUAAAAAUUAUUACCUACAUUGGAUAUAAUUUGUUAUUUGUACCUACAUACUACCUAUAGAAUAUUGUUAAGAAUUCUUUUUACUACCUACCUAUUAUACCUAUGAAAUAUUAAUAAUUUAAAGAUAUUAUAAAUUAUUUUUCAAUCUAAUAAAAAAAAGGAUUUAGUUUUCAAGUAAAUCAGAUAUACAGAUUAUUACCUAUUAAAUGAUUAAUCGAAAUCUAAUAUAUUUUAAAGGUAUAUUUAUAAUAAAGUUACAAAUUAAUACAUACGUACUUAUUUUUUCAGACUUUUCUGUUUAUCUUAAUUAAUGAUACAGGUAUAUAGAAAGAGACAUCAUGAUAUUUGUCCAAUCCAAUAUCUAUACUGUUCAGUUUUAGUACCUAUGUCCUAUACACUAUCAAAUUAUUAUCAUACCUAUAAAUAUAUGGAAAUGUUUUGUAUGGAAAUUGGAGUGAAAAACUGAUUUCUAAAGGAGGACAAAUUAAAAACGAAAUCAAUAAUUUAUAAUAGAAUUUUGAUCCAAAGUUUUUUCUUCAUUAUGUAGGAAGAGUUAAAUAUAAGUAAAUAAUAA